UGGCGUAGAGAUGGGGAAGUUAUCUUUGGAAGGAUGGGCAAGGAGAGCCUCUCUAAGGUGAUGGCAUGUGAGCAGAGACCUGAAUGAUUAUAAAGAAGCCAUGUGGAGGGAGUGUUUCAGGAAGAAUAAACAGCACAUGGAAAGGCUCGGACACAAAAACAAGUAUGACCUAUUUAAAGAAUAGUAAGGAGGGGAGGGAGGCAGCUGGUGCUUAGAGAGAGGAAAGCAGAGGGAGAUGAACUGAGGGCAGGCAGGGGCCAGACUACACGCUCCGUGGUUCAUCACAUAAUGAUAGAAGGUAACAGUGUUCCUCUGUAUCGGAGCCUGUCUACAGCUCUGUGGUGACUUCAUUCACCAAAAUGCUGUUACUCAAGAUUCACCUGUUAUCUGGGUUGUCAGGGAGAUGACCGCAGGAAGUCCAGAGGACAAAGCCUGGAUGCCAACGCUGUAGUUGGUCCCUGCGCGCAGGUCCAAGCACAUCUCUGGAGCCCGGCUGCUGGUAGUGAUAUUAAAGGUCAUUUCCUGGACAAAUUCCUUCUGAUACCAUCGCUGGCCCUGAACGUGGAACUAAAACAUAGAAAAGUUCACAAGGUGAAUCGCUGGCUUGAAAGGCUCUCAACACCUGGAUAAUGACCCCUUCUCAUGAGCUCUCUUGCCCUCGACUCUAAAGUUCCUUCAAAAAGUGAAAUACAACAGUAAGCAAAUAUUACAGUUGAGAUACCAUAAAUAGUGUAGUUACAAGAGUAUCAGUAUAAUAAAUAUAUUUUAAAGUCAAAAUGCACAGAAGGCCACAGCCCUGAUAAUGACAAGCCUCCCUUUGUUUUCGCACAUACAGUGCAUGUGACCAACGGGAAUGUCUGCUGGCAAGACUGCGGGGCCAAGGCCAAAGGGCAUGGGCCUAGAAAGAAAAUUAAGAAUCUGAACUCAGCCUUCUCCAAAGCAGGACUGAAUUAGGAUACUCCUAGUUGGUCUGGUAAAACCUGAGAAGGGUUUUUCUCUUCUGCCUGCCCCCUUCUGACAUUCCCUGCACUUUUCUGGAACAUCCCAGCCCUUGGGCCAAUAGACAACACUCUUCUUCCCACUUAAUUUAGUAGCAGCUUAUCUCAUGAUCUUUACCUUUCUUACAACUACACUAGCUUCCAGAGUUCCCUUUGACUCUCUAGGCAACACAUUCAGACCCUGGUCAGAGACACUGGUGUGGAGAGACCCACACGUGCAAAAGCCAUUGGAUUCCUUCCACAGAUCCUGCCUGAACAUCGCCUCUGCAUCGGGUUGUGUGCACAAAGAAACCCCCGUGGCUUUCGCAUCAGUCCCCAAGGUCUGUCUUCAAAAAUGCAUCAUGACUUCCCAUGCUCUUGCUUCUCAUGCAAUUGUCACUAUAAAUCUUCCUUUGAUAACAGCAGCUAUAUAAGUAGAUUUUUAGGUUUGUUGGUAUUUUUUUAAACCUCUCACACAAAACACAUAUAGAGUAACUUGCAGUAACUUACUAAAUACAUCUCCUCUGUGUCAGCUGUCUUCAUGCUUCUCCAUCUCAAGCAGGUUUCAUUAAAUAUUGAAAUGUUACCAAUGGUCUGUUUUACUGUAGAGGGAAAAGAAUGAGAAAUCAACAUAUUCCAUACAAAAAUACUUGCUUUCAAUUGAACCAUUUUCCAAGGUCAAGCUUUUACAUAGGAAGAUUUCAGCAGUACUGUAAUUUAGAGAUGAGUGGUUGCAGCCCAAGAAAUGCCACUUUUCUAUUUAUGUGAACUCAGUCCUGAUGAAAGAUUUAAGAUCAAAAGAGGACCCUCCUAAAAAUUGUCUGUCUAGCACUGUAAACUUCCUUGGUUUACUAAGCGAAAACUAAAACUCCUUGUCCUAGCCACAGACAACCUCAUUUGUACAAGUAAGCAUCCAUUUGAAAUUCUGAGUUGAGAGUAACACAACGUCCACAGAGAACUGAGAACGGCUCCUUGAGAAACAGAAAAAGUCUCUCUCCAGCAGAUGAGCCUCUCACGGGUCCCUCUUGGUCUGGGCUUCCUCAUCUCUUCUGGCCAAAGAAGCAUUUGUUAGUCUCCACUCAAGUUCACGGUAUUCAAUCCAGAAGGCAGUUCAGAUCUGGUACGGUGCAAUACAGAGGUACAUUCCUCAAGCUUUUUAAAAUAAAGACUAGUUAUUCAAAACUGA